rnacentral:rRNA from 1 species
UACAGAGGGUGCAAGCGUUAAUCGGAAUUACUGGGCGUAAAGCGUGCGCAGGCGGUUUUGUAAGUUUGUCGUGAAAUCCCCCGGGCUUAACCUGGGAACUGCGCUUCUAACUGGCAGGCUUGAGUGUGGCAGAGGGGGGUGGAAUUCCACGUGUAGCAGUGAAAUGCGUAGAGAUGUGGAGGAACACCGAUGGCGAAGGCAGCCCCCUGGGCUAACACUGACGCUCAUGCACGAAAGCGUGGGGAGCAAACAGG